UACAGAGGUCCCAAGCGUUGUUCGGAUUCAUUGGGCGUAAAGGGUGCGUAGGCGGCGCGGUAAGUCGGGUGUGAAAUCUCGGGGCUUAACAUCCGAAACUGCAUUUGAUACUGCCGUGCUUGAGGACUGGAGAGGAGACUGGAAUUUACGGUGUAGCGGUGAAAUGCGUAGAUAUCGGGAGGAACACCGGUGGCGAAGGCGGUUCUCUGGGCCUGUACUGACGCUGAGGAGCGAAAGCGUGGGGAGCGAACAGG
rnacentral:rRNA from 1 species